AAGAUUUUACUUUUGGGGAUCAUUUCUAUAGUUUGUUACUAGAGAAACUCUAUUGAUCAUGUAGAGUACCAGAAAUCAAGAGGAGGAGGCACAGGAAAGAA
rnacentral:snoRNA from 1 species